AACCUGCGGAGGGAUCAUUACUGAAUGGCCUUUUGGGCCUUCAACCUUCAAAAACAUGUGGAAGCAAGAUGUGCUUCGGUGCCUCUGGUGCCGCCUUUAUGCAGUGAAGCCUUAUUUGUCUGAACCAAAAUCAAAAAGUUAAAACUUUCAACAAAGGAUCUCUUGGCUCUCACAUCGAUGAAGAACGCAGCGAAGCGCGAAAUGUAGUGUGAAUCGCAGAACUUAGUGAAUCAUCGAAUCUUUGAACGCACAUUGCGCCUCCCAUCAUCGGGAGGCAUGCCUGUCUGAGCGUCAUUUAAACCAUAGCUCCCAUCUGGGACUGUACUGGGCAUCGCCGACGGCGUAGCCUCAAAGACAUUGGUCUAAUCAAGCGGACGAGUUCCUUUAGGACGGACCGUUGGGUUGACCUUAAACCUCUGACUUGACCUCAGAUCAGGUAGGGCUACCGCCUGAACUUAAGCAUAUCAUAGCCGGAAGGA
rnacentral:rRNA from 1 species